rnacentral:rRNA from 1 species
UACGGAGGGUGCAAGCGUUAAUCGGAAUUACUGGGCGUAAAGCGUGCGCAGGCGGUUUGUUAAGUCCGUUGUGAAAGCCCCGAGCUCAACUUGGGAAUUGCAGUGGAUACUGGCAGGCUGGAGUACGGUAGAGGAAGGUGGAAUUCCCGGUGUAGCAGUGAAAUGCGUAGAUAUCAGGAGGAACACCGGUGGCGAAGGCGGGUCUCUGGGCCGUUACUGACGCUGAGGAGCGAAAGCGUGGGGAGCGAACAGG